rnacentral:lncRNA from 13 species
UGUAUUGUGUAUGAGGGUGUCUGUAACAUAAUUUUGACUUGUCUCACUGUGUUGUCAGACUCUAAAGGCUCUGUGUCUGGACAGUAUACGCAGUAAGAUCCUCCAGAGACUAGAGCUGUGUCUGGAUAUACUGGGAGGAACAGUGGAGAGAAUCUCCAACACAGCAGAGGUGUUGGGAGCUGUACAUCAGGAGGCUCGUGUGAGUCGAGCGGUGGAGCUGAUGGUGAGCCACGUUGACAACCUGAAGAGGCGUAAUGAGAGAGACACAGAGCUGGACGAGACCAAGAAACUCAACAGGAAAAUCCUCCGUAGGAACUACAGCGACCCUAGAGAUGAAGGAGAGUUCAGGCAGAAGGACAAUAAAACCUCUCAGCAGUUGCACAUUGGUGCAAGUCGUCGAAGGGUCAGCAUAGCAGUGAUCAACAAACAAGCCCAGGAAAAGAGAAAAUUGGAAAGAGGGCUGCAGAAGUCAUUCUCAUUAGAUCAUGGGAUAGGCAAGAAGUCACUCUCAACCCCAUCUCCAUCAAUGGACUCCAUCACAGAGUCCAACCCUUCAGUCAUGGUCAAGACAGAAGAGAUGGAUGUUCCCUUCCUGGAUGGCAGACCACAUGAAGCCCCUGAUGAUAACAAACAAGCAGUUGCUGCUGAUGUCCAGUCACCACCUGAACCAGACCCCACUCCAGUCUAUACAGCACCCUGUCCCACUCUCACACACAAGCCAAACGAAGUGGACACCAAGAAAAACAGCAUGAGGUGCAGACAUAAAGGCAAGGCUGCACUGGAGAGGACGGAGAGGAGGAUAGGGAACAGAGAGAAAACUAUGACACACACCGACCAAUGCAUCACCGGAACGUGUGGCCCUAUGUGCAGAGAGCGCUCCCUGGCCCCCUGGAUGUGGCACUGCCGCUGGGUUGUCCUCAGUGUGUAUCUGGUAGUGCUCUGCUGUGUGAUACUACUGAUCAUCCUUUUCUGGCUCGGUCCUGAACGUCUGCUGUGA